AUUGAACGCUGGCGGCAGGCCUAACACAUGCAAGUCGAGCGGAGCGGCGGACGGGUGAGUAAUGCCUAGGAAUCUGCCUGGUCGUGGGGGAUAACGUCCGGAAACGGGCGCUAAUACCGCAUACUAGCAGAUGAGCCUAGGCCGGAUUAGCUAGUUGGUGGGGUAAAGGCCUACCAAGGCGACGAUCCGUAACUGGUCUGAGAUGAUGAUCAGUCACCUUGGAACUGAUACACGGCCCAUACUCCUACGUGAGGCAGCAGGGGGGAAUAUUGGACAAUGGGCGAAAUCCUGAUCCAGCCAUGCCGCGUGUGUGAAGAAGGUGUUCGGAUUGUAAAGCACUUUAAGUUGGGAGGCGUUACCAACAGAGUAAGCACCGGCUAACUUCGUGCCAGCAGCCGCGGUAAUUC
rnacentral:rRNA from 1 species